GAUGAAGAACGUAGUGAAAUGCGAUAAGUAAUGUGAAUUGCAGAAUUCAGUGAAUCAUCGAAUCUUUGAACGCACAUUGCGCCCCCUGGUAUUCCGGGGGGCAUGCCUGUCCGAGCGUCAUUACAACCCUCAAGCUCAGCUUGGUGUUGGGCCCCGCCGCCCCGGCGGGCCCUAAAGUCAGUGGCGGUGCCGUCCGGCUCCGAGCGUAGUAAUUCUUCUCGCUCUGGAGGCCCGGUCGUGUGCUCGCCAGCAACCCCCAAUUUUUUUCAGGUUGACCUCGGAUCAGGUAGGGAUACCCGCUGAACUUAAGCAUAUCAAUAAGCGGAGGA
rnacentral:misc_RNA from 1 species